rnacentral:rRNA from 1 species
AUUGAACGCUGGCGGCAUGCCUUACACAUGCAAGUCGAACGGCAGCACGGGAGCAAUCCUGGUGGCGAGUGGCGAACGGGUGAGUAAUAUAUCGGAACGUGCCCAGUCGUGGGGGAUAACGUAGCGAAAGCUACGCCAAUACCGCAUACGAUCUAUGGAUGAAAGCGGGGGAUCGCAAGACCUCGCGCGAUUGGAGCGGCCGAUAUCAGAUUAGGUAGUUGGUGGGGUAAAGGCUCACCAAGCCGACGAUCUGUAGCUGGUCUGAGAGGACGACCAGCCAAACUGGGACUGAGACACGGCCCAGACUCCUACGGGAGGCAGCAGUGGGGAAUUUUGGACAAUGGGCGCAAGCCUGAUCCAGCAAUGCCGCGUGCAGGAUGAAGGCCUUCGGGUUGUAAACUGCUUUUGUACGGAGCGAAAAGGCUUCCACUAAUACUGGGGGCUCAUGACGGUACCGUAAGAAUAAGCACCGGCUAACUACGUGCCAGCAGCCGCCGUAAUAC